rnacentral:rRNA from 1 species
GAUGAACGCUGGCGGCGUGCCUAAUACAUGCAAGUCGAGCGAACGGACGGGAAGCUUGCGCCUCUGAUGUUAGCGGCUGACGGGUGAGUAAGACGUGGAUAGCCUACUUAUUAUACGGGGAUAACAUCGGGAGACCGGAGCUAAUACUAGCUAAUAUUUUGUACGGGAGGGUUCAAAAGUGAAAGACGGUCUUGGCGUCACAUAUAGAUGGAUUCGCGCUGCAUUAGCUAGUUGGUAAGGGAACGGCGUACCAAGGCAACGAUGCGUAGCCGACCUGAGAGGGUGAUCAGCCACACUGGAACUGAGACACGGUCCAGACUCCUACGGGAGGCAGCAGUAGGGAAUCUUCGGCAAUGGGCGAAAGCCUGGCGGAGCAACGCCGCGUGAGUGAUGAAGGUCUUCGGAUCGUAAAACUCUGUUAUUAGGGAAGAACAUAUGUGUAAGUAACUGUGCACAUCCUGACGGUACCUAAUCAGAAAGCCACGGCUAACUACGUG